CCUGUCCCCACGUGCAUUGCAGCUGCAGCUGCUGUGACACGUGUAUCAGUCGGGGGCAGAGAGGAGAACUGCAAGUUUGAGGCCAUCCUGGACUAU
rnacentral:snoRNA from 1 species